GAGAGAGAGUGUGAGAGUGUGUGUGGUGAUUUGCGGUGUGUGAUGUGAGGUGAUAGAUGAUUAAAUCAGGUUAAAUGAACCACUGUAUGGAGCGACAGAGGCGCGAGGAGGAGAUCCUGAAAAUCUUCCUCACACACACACACACACUCACACACUCACACUCAUUCUGUGAUUGGGAAGCGGAGAGGACAUGAAGACAGUGUUCAGGACAUGAAGACAGGGGUGCAGUGUGUCGGUGUUGAGUGAAGUGUUGAGAGUGAGAGUGGGAGGAAGUGUUACACUGUAGCGAGAGAGGAAAUGGUAACGUUCACGCGCUGUGUCUUGUUGCUGUUGUGUUCGGCGCUAUGCUAACGCUAAGCUCACUGGUGUUUCUGGGGAGCAGGAAACGGAGGUUCAGCGCUGCUGGGGGUUUAAACUCGGUAAUGUCGGGGGUUGUGGUUGUGAAAUGAUAAAGAAAGAAUAAAGAAAUGUUCAUUGUUGGGUUUGAUCCGGUUUUCCUUCGCUCGUGUUUUGACAUGUUUUUCCUCUGUGCAUUGAGGAAGUAGUAAAGCUUGUUUACUUUGUAGCGCUGCGUCAUCAGAUUGCAGUGUUUCUCUCUCUGUCUUUAACUGUCUUUCUCUCGAUCUGGCUUUCUUUCUAACUGCCUCUCUCUCACGGUCUCUCAUCUAUCUAUCUGUCUCACUGCAUCUAUCUAUAUAUCUCACUUUUACUGCCUCUCUGUCUCACUCUCACUGCCUCUCUGUCUCACUGCCUCUCUGUCUCACUCUCACUGCCUCUCUGUCUCACUCUCACUGCCUCUCUGUCUCACUCUCACUGCCUCUCUGUCUCACUCUCACUGCCUCUCUGUCUCACUCACUGCCUCUCUGUCUCACUCUCACUGCCUCUCUGUCUCACUCUCACUGCCUCUCUGUCUCACUCUCACUGCCUCUCUGUCUCACUCUCACUGCCUCUCUCUCACGCUCACUGCCUCUCUGUCUCACUCGCACUGCCUCUCUGUCUCACUCGCACUGCCUCUCUGUCACUAUCUAUCUGUCUCACUCUCACUGCCUCUAUCUGUCUGUCUCUCUCAUUAUCUGUCUAUCCAUCUAUUUCUCUCACUCUGUCUCUGUCACUAUUUCUAUCUAUAUCUAUCUCACUCUCUCACUGUCUCUCUAUCUGUCUUUAGCUAUAUAUCUGUCUCUGUCUCUAUCUAUCUAUCUCUCUCACUCUCUGACUUUCACUCUGUCUAUCUAUCACUGUCUGUUUGUCUGUCUAUCUGUCUCUCUAUCUCUUGCUAUCUGUCUAUCUAUCUAUUUAUCUUUGACUCUGUUUCUGACUCUGUUUCUCUGUCUUUAUCAUUCUCUAUAUCCAUCUUUCUCUCUAUCUGUCGCUCUCUCUCUCUCUUUCUCUUUAUAUCGGUCAUUAUAUAUCCAUCUCUGAUGGUCUGUCUUUCUCUGUAUCUUUCUCGUGUCUGUGUCAGCAGCUCUUUUGUCUCCCUUUUUCUCUCUCUCUUUCUCUUUCCCUCUGCCUUUCUCUCUCUCUCUCUCUCUCUCUCUCUCUCUCUCUCUCUCUCUCAGUCUUCCUCUCUUGCCUGAAAUCUGUCUAACAUUAACUACAUUACUUGCGCUAUGUAAUGCACAAAAGUGUAACCGGUGUCCCGUGUGGUUUAGGAGGUUAUUUCUUGGUUUUAGGUAGCGCCGCACAAUUAAUCGGAUAUCGAUGGCGAUUGCGAUUUUGACUGCCCACGAUUAAAUGAACGCGAUCGACUGCGAUAUUGACGUUUAAAGUUCGUCCUCCGCUCAUAGAAAACUCCGCUGCAAAUCAGUUCAAGUGCUUCCUAAACUUACAGCCAGUCACCAGAAAGUGGUGCAGGGAUGACAUCAUUUUGUACGCCAAAAACCCUUAGCGUUUUAGCGCUUGAGCGGCGAGCCUCGCUUUAUCCUCCUGAUGAUAACUUCCGGGUUUUGGUACAGAAUGACGUCAUCCCCGCGCCGCUCUAUUGGGUGAUUUGUCUGCGUCUCUCCUCCUGUAAACACUCUUAUUGCCUUUUCAGCGUACGCCUGAACUGUUUUCAUUUGCU
ensembl:lncRNA